rnacentral:rRNA from 1 species
UACGUAGGUGGCAAGCGUUGUCCGGAUUUACUGGGCGUAAAGAGCGCGCAGGCGGUCGUUCAAGUCGCGUGUGAAAGCCCCCGGCUCAACUGGGGAGGGUCACGCGAUACUGAUCGACUCGAAGGCAGGAGAGGGUAGUGGAAUUCCCGGUGUAGUGGUGAAAUGCGUAGAUACGCGGAGGAACACCAGUGGCGAAAGCGGCUCUCUGGGGGCCACCUGACGCUGAGGCGCGAAAGCGUGGGGAGCGAACCGG